rnacentral:rRNA from 1 species
AUGAGGCAUAAUAGAGCAGCCGGUCCCGAUGGUAUGCCUAUUGAAUUCUUCCAAACCUUUUGGCACCUCAUUUGCAAUGAUUUGUUGAGUCUCUUUCAAGAUUUUUAUGAUGAUAUGAUUGAUAUUUCUAGGCUAAACUAUGGGGUAGUUACAUUGUUAGCUAAGGGUCAAGGGGCGGAUAGGAUUCAAAUGUAUAGACCUAUAUGCAUGCUCAAUGUCCCAUUUAAAAUCUUUACCAAAGUCUUAAACAAUAGAGCUAUGGCUACUGCUCACAAGACGAUUUCUAAGGUACAAUCUGCAUUUAUCAAAGGGCGUUAUAUUUUAGAUAAUGUCGCUGUUCUCCAUGAGACGCUUCACUCACUACAUAAGUCUAAAUGCGAUGCUAUUAUUUUUAAAGUUGAUUUUGAGAAAGCUUAUGAUAAAAUUGAUUGGGACUUUAUGCUUAGUACGCUGAAAAUGAAGGGGUUUCCUGAUAAAUUUAUUCGUUGGACAAAAGCAGUUAUUCAUAAUGGUAAAGUAGCUAUUACUUUAAAUGACUUGAUUGGCCCCUAUUUUGUUACUAGGAAAGGAUUGAGGUAG